rnacentral:tRNA from 1 species
GGGAAAAAAGCAUAAUAUGCGAUUGACUUGAAAUCAAUAGAUGGCAGUUAAAUUCUGUCUUUUCUCG